rnacentral:rRNA from 1 species
GCCUAACACAUGCAAGUCGAGCGGAUGAGAGGAGCUUGCUCCUUGAUUUAGCGGCGGACGGGUGAGUAAUGCCUAGGAAUCUGCCUGGUAGUGGGGGAUAACGUUCCGAAAGGAACGCUAAUACCGCAUACGUCCUACGGGAGAAAGCAGGGGACCUUCGGGCCUUGCGCUAUCAGAUGAGCCUAGGUCGGAUUAGCUAGUUGGUGAGGUAAUGGCUCACCAAGGCGACGAUCCGUAACUGGUCUGAGAGGAUGAUCAGUCACACUGGAACUGAGACACGGUCCAGACUCCUACGGGAGGCAGCAGUGGGGAAUAUUGGACAAUGGGCGAAAGCCUGAUCCAGCCAUGCCGCGUGUGUGAAGAAGGUCUUCGGAUUGUAAAGCACUUUAAGUUG